GCCGGGUUGGCGGAAUGGCAUACGCGACGAGCUCAAACCUCGUUGCCCGAAAGGGCUUGUGGGUUCGAAUCCCACACUCGGCACCA
rnacentral:tRNA from 1 species